rnacentral:rRNA from 1 species
AUUGAACGCUGGCGGCAUGCUUUACACAUGCAAGUCGAACGGUAACAGGCCGCAAGGUGCUGACGAGUGGCGAACGGGUGAGUAAUGCAUCGGAACGUGCCCAGUCGUGGGGGGUAACUACUCGAAAGAGUAGCUAAUACCGCAUACGAUCAAUGGAUGAAAGCGGGGGACCGUAAGGCCUCGCGCGAUUGGAGCGGCCGAUGUCAGAUUAGGUAGUUGGUGGGGUAAAGGCUCACCAAGCCAACGAUCUGUAGCUGGUCUGAGAGGACAACCAGCCACACUGGGACUGAGACACGGCCCAGACUCCUACGGGAGGCAGCAGUGGGGAAUUUUGGACAAUGGGCGCAAGCCUGAUCCAGCAAUGCCGCGUGCAGGAAGAAGGCCUUCGGGUUGUAAACUGCUUUGUACGGAACGAAACGGCUCUGGUUAAUACCCGGGGCUAAUGACGGUACCGUAAGAAUAAGCACCGGCUAACUACGU